GUCGGUCCUCGGUAGUGGUUCCCGGGCAGCGGCCCGGGGGCUUCGAUCGAAGACCGGC
rfam:Amycolatopsis australiensis strain DSM 44671 genome assembly, contig: Ga0074771_106